GACGAACGCUGGCGGCGUGCUUAACACAUGCAAGUCGAACGGUAAGGCCCUUCGGGGUACACGAGUGGCGAACGGGUGAGUAACACGUGGGUGAUCUGCCCUGCACUUCGGGAUAAGCCUGGGAAACUGGGUCUAAUACCGGAUAGGACUCCGGACUGCAUGGUCUGGGGUGGAAAGCUUUUGCGGUGUGGGAUGGGCCCGCGGCCUAUCAGCUUGUUGGUGGGGUGAUGGCCUACCAAGGCGACGACGGGUAGCCGGCCUGGGAGGGUGACCGGCCACGCUGGGACUGAGAUACGGCCCAGACUCCUACGGGAGGCAGCAGUGGGGAAUAUUGCACAAUGGGCGCAAGCCUGAUGCAGCGACGCCGCGUGAGGGAUGACGGCCUUCGGGUUGUAAACCUCUUUCAGCAUCGACGAAGCGAAAGUGACGGUAGGUGCGGAAGAAGGACCGGCCAACUACGUGCCAGCAGCCGCGGUAA
rnacentral:rRNA from 1 species